UACAGAGGUCUCAAGCGUUGUUCGGAUUCAUUGGGCGUAAAGGGCGCGUAGGCGGCCUGUUAAGUCGAACGUGAAAUCCCCGGGCUCAACCCGGGAACUGCGUCCGAUACUGGCAGGCUUGAAUUCGGGAGAGGGAUGUGGAAUUCCAGGUGUAGCGGUGAAAUGCGUAGAUAUCUGGAGGAACACCGGUGGCGAAGGCGGCAUCCUGGACCGAUAUUGACGCUGAUGCGCGAAAGCCAGGGGAGCAAACGGG
rnacentral:rRNA from 1 species